UGUAGGAAUUUCCUGGAAUUUUUUGGUCGGCCUACGCUCGCGGGAAUGGUGGGUCCGUUGAUGAGAAGGAAAGAAAGGGUGGGAGCGAGGAUUAACCAAAAACGCGGCAUUGAGAAUGAGGGGAAGUGCGCUCAGCACUCACGCUGGGUCACUCAGGAUGCUUGAAAUAAAAUGUUAACAAGCAUCGAUUUCAAGCAUGCAUGUCGCGCGACAUUUUGCCAAGCGGGUUUCCACGUCAUCUAAAUCCGUUCAUUUUUGCUUUACCAUGACAAAGCACCAUAGUUCAGUCAAAGUAAGGUUGUAACCUGACUCAAUUGGUAUAACAUAUAUUACAUAAAAUAUAAAAUAAUACACACAAAACUUAGGAAUUCUCUUGCGUAGAUCAAACUAGAGAGCAUUUAGUUCUGUAAAGUUGAUUACUACACACGGAUGGUUGAUGAUAAAGCUUUUCAUAGGAAGCAUAUGUUGUGCAAUUUGAGCACAAAAUAUAACCAAUUGCAUUUCAUAUAAUGUGCAUAUAACUUAAAUGGCUUAUUGCCCUGAGGCCAGGAUAUGUAACAUGACAAAGCCUCAGUUAUAUUACAAUGUACCCAAAAUCAACUUUUGCGUUAAACCGUGUUAAUCGACAUUACAAUAGUUAAAAUAGCAAUAUCGAUUAUAAAAACUUUUUUGAGCAUCACAUCCGCGAAAGACGAUGUUAGCAAACAGGCAAAGCAAACACUUCACAAAAAGAACACAAAAUGCACAGGCACAAUGCUACCGUCAGACACACUAGACGGUUUACAUAAAUUCAACGAUAAGAUGGCAUACUAUAUGGUGGAACCACACAAGCAGGACUUCCGCUUCGUUAAAAAUUUGUGUCACGCGAACUCAUCAAGAACCGGACGAAAGCAAUUAUGUUGCAAAGACAAAAAGAGGAAGGCGAAGAAACACAACAUUGAAUAACGUACAUCACAAAGGUUGACCUAAGGAAAAAGAAUGGUGUUUUGCUUUUUUCCAACGUUACAGUUACUUCAGAAGUUCUACCAAUGACCAUUAGAAGGCGAUGCACGUGUUUGUACUGGCCCAUUGGGAUCUUGGCACUACUUUUACCUCCGCCCAGCCAGCUGCACUUACAUAAGAAAGUGGCACUAAAUAGUUUGAUUACUGCAUCGUUUAUUCGAUUUUCUGGAGUAACAGAACCGGUCUUGGCGGGUCAUCGACAGUCUCUUUCGAAGAACAACUAGCACUACUAGCAGAGCAAUAUGAGCAGCGAUUGAUGCAAUCCUUUCCACUGCCGAGCGGUUCCUUUCCAAUGCUUAUUGUACAGAGAGACCAUCGAAAAAGGCCAACGAAGGAGGUUCAUCGACGUCAACGUUGCCAAAUGUCUCCGUAGGAUGGUUUUCCACAGCUCGCUCGACAAUUUUAUCUUUCACAAUUGCCGGAGAUGGUUCACAGACGUCAACGCAGGAUAAUGAUGAUGUGCUGUCGUUUAUCGCCGCAGAUUGAUUUGAAACACCGUCAAAAAGGGCCAACACAGGUGGUUCAUACACAACAUUACUGGACACUCGUUGUAAGAUACGAUUUUCCACUGCACAUUGCGAUGUUUCACCGCCAAAAAAGGCCAAGGGGGGCGGCUCAGUAACGCCACUGCCCGCUUGGCAAAGAGUAACUCAUUUUGAAGCCUCUCGCUACCCCUGGCCUUAGUUUUAAAGGAAUCAUGCGACA